UAUAAUUGACUCCAGCAUCACUGAUGUCAGGCUAAUAGGUCUAUAAUUCUCUGGGUUCUCUCUGCCGCCUUUCUUAAAAAGUGGGAUAACAUUAGUUACCCUCCAAUCCACAGGAACUGAUCCUGUGUCUAUAGAACAUUGGAAAAUUAUCACCAAUGCAUCCACAAUUUCUAGAGCCACUUCCUUAAGUACCCUGGGAUGCAGACAAGGUUAAUUUCCAGGGAUGGCAGGACUUUCAUAUGCUGAGAGAAUGGAGCAGCUGGGCUUGUACGCUCUGGAGUUCAGAAGGGUGAGAGGUGAUCUCAUUGAAACAUAUAAGAUUGUUAAGGGCUUGGACACACUAGAGGCAGGAAACAUGUUCCCGAUGUUGGGGGAGUCCAGAACCAGGGGCCACCGUUUAAGAAUAAGGAGUAAGCCAUUUAGAACAAGGACGAGGAAACACUUUUUCUCACAGAGAGUGGUGAGUCUGUGGAAUUCUCUGCCUCAAAGGGGGUUGGAAGCAGGUUCUCUGGAUGCUUUCAAGAGAGAGCUAGAUAGGGUUCCCAGCACAGAUCCCUGCGAAGUCCACUGGUCAGACAUCCAGCCAGAAUAUCUUCCUUCCAACACACCACACCACACUGUCUUCUAUGAAUCAGCCAGUUCUGAAUGAACACGACCUAGUCACAGUGGAGGUCCUUCUGCAGUUGUACAGGCCCCUAGUGAGACCACACCUGGAGUAUUGUGUGUAGUUUUGGUCUCCAAAUUUGAGGAAGGAUAUUCGUGCUGUUGAGACAGUGCAGCGUAGGUUCACGUGGUUAAUUCCCGAGAUUGUGGGACGGUCAUAUGUUGAAAGAAUGGAGCGACUGGGCUUGUAUACACUGGAAUUUAGAAGGAUGAGAGGGUAUCUUAUUGAAACAUAUAAUAUUAUUAGGGGAUUGGACAUGCUAGAGGCAGGAAACAUGUUCCCAAUCCAGAACCAGGGGCCACAGUUUAAGAAUAAGGGGAGAACGGAGAUGAGGAAAAAUGUUUUCAUACAGAGAGUUGUGAAUCUGUGGAAUUCUCUGCCCCAAUGGAGGCCAAUUCUCUGGAUGCUUUCAAGAGAGAGUUAGAUAGAGCUCCUAAAGAUAGUUGAAUUAAUGGAUAUGUGGAGAAGGCAGGGACGGGGUACUGAUUGUGGAUGAUCAGCCAUUAUCACAGUGAAUGGCAGUGCUGGCUCAAAGGGCCGAAUGCCCUACUCCUGUAUCUAUUGUCUAUUGUCUAAUGCCUGUGCAUUCUAUGCAUCUUAAUCUUCUGGAUCAGCCUACCAUGAGGGACGUGAUCAAAAGACUCACUAAAAUCCAUGUACAGGUAUAAAACAUCCACCACCCUAUCUUCAUCAAUCUCUGUCACCUCACAGAAACAUGCUCAAGUUAGUAAAAUACGAUGCUGCAUACUAAGCCAAGUUGGCUGUCAUUAAUUAGCCCAUUCUCUUCCACCUGGGAGUAAAUCCCAUCUUGAAGAUUUCUCUCCAACUGUUUCCCUGGACUGACGUGAGGCUCACUGGCUUAUAGUUCCCUGGAUUCUCUCCACAUUCCUUCUUAAACAAAGGAACAACAUUGGCCACUCCCCAGUUCUCCAGCUCGUCGCCUGUGGUUAGAGAAGAAACGAAGAUCCUUGUCAAGGCCCCCACAAUAUCCUCUCUUGCCUCUCUCAAUAACCUGGCAUAGAUCCCAUCAGGCCCCAUGAUCUAUCCACCUUAAUGAUCUUCAAGAGCCUCAGCACGACCUCCUUCUCGACCUUAAACUGCCCCAGCAUAUUCGUAAUGACAUUUCAUGAACACGUUUGGCCCUCCUAAUCACCCGCAUGUGUCCUUUCCUUAUCACUUUAUAUUCCUCAUUAGGCCUGAUGCCUAAUCUUCACUUUCUCAUCAGCCCUUCCCUUUGUUUUCCUGCUGUCCUGGUUCCCACUUCCCUGCCAUUCCAGUUUAAAUCCUCCCGAGUAGAACUGGCAAACCUCCCAGCAAGGAUGUUGGUGCCCCUCCAGUUCAGGUAUAAGUGUAUGUCCCUCUAUUACAGGUCACCUCUACCUCAAAACAAAUCCCAAUGGCCCAUAAAUCUGAAUCCCUCUCUCAUGCAUCAACAUUCAUCUGUACUAUUGCUACCCUCACUAGCAAGUACGUGCCACUGUUAGUAAUCCAGAGAUUACAAUCCACAAUGUCCUGCAUCUUAACCUUUUGCCUAAUGCCUCUGUCCCACUUAGGAAACCUGAACGGAAACCUCUGGAGACUUUGUGCCCCACCAAAGGUUUCCGUGCGGUUCCCGGAGGUUGCAGGUGGUUGCCGGAGGUUGCAGGUAGUGGAAGCAGGUAGGGAGACUGACAAAAACCUCUGGGAACCUCCAGGAAUCGCACAGAAACCUUGGGUGGGGCGCAACGUCUCCAGAGGUUUCCGUUCAGGUUUCCUAAGUGGGACAGGGGCUUAACUCUCUAUAUUCAUUCUGCAAGACCUCAUCCCUUUUCCAACCAACAUCAUUUGUGUCGACGUGCACAAUGACUUCUGACUUCACCCUCCCUCUUGAGAAUAUUCUGUAGCUGAUCCAAAAUGUCCAGAACCCUGGCACCAGGAAGGCACCAGAUCAUCCUGGAAUCCCAUUUGCUGCCACGGAAUCUUCUGUCUGUCCCCCCUGUUUAUAGAGUCUCCUCUCACUAUCGCUCUGCCUGCCUUCACCCGACCUCACUGUCUCAGAGCCAUGGCCGGUGCCACAGACCUGGCUGCUGCUGCUGCCCACUACAUGGUCAUCUCCCUCAACAAUAUCCAAAAGGGGGAAAGGCCACAGGGCAUUCCUGAACCCUAUGCUGCUGGUCACCCAUCUAUUCUCUACCUGCAUCUUACCUGAAACAAAGCAGGAAGUCAUGGUCUCAUACAAUCUUUAAAACAACAAUAUCUGAAUAAAUAAUUACUUUGUACAUUUGCCGAGACCCAAAUGGAAGCACUUUUUAGUUUUUAUUCGUGUUAUCACCAGAUAUGUUUUCAUUGUACCUUGGUACAAUAGACAAUAAACUAAACUGAGGUAUGAUACUGCAAAGAAAGAAAUGCUGGAACAUCUGCUGUUUGUGUACAAAGAUUCCUGAGGAUAGACUGGAAAGGCUGUGUUUACUUUGCGUGGAGCAAUGGUGACUGAGCGGGGCCAUACAGAGGUAUUCACAAUUAUAAAAGGCAUAGAGAGUGUACGUUGUAGCAAAGAUUUCCCCACGGCAGAGGUAUCUAACGAUUGAGGGCACAAACAUAGAAACAUAGAAAAUAGGUGCAGGAGGAGGCCAUUUGGCCCCAUGCCAGCACCGCCAUUCAUUGUGAUCAUGGCCGAUCAUCCACAAUCAGUAACCUGUGCCUGCCUUCUACCCAUAUCCCUUGAUUCCGUUCGCCCUUAGAGCUCUAUAUAUCUCUCUUUUAAAUUCAUCCAGUGAAUCAGCCUCCACUGCCUGUGGCAGAGAAUUCCACAAAUUCACAACUCUCUGGGUGAAAAUGUUUUUUCACAUCUCAGUUCUAAAUGGCCUACCCUUUAUUCUUAGACUGUGGCCCCUGGUUCUGGACUCCCCCAACAAUGGGAACAUUUUUUCCUACAUCUAGCUUGUCCAGUCCUUAGAUGUUUCUAUAAGAUCCCCUCUCAUCUUUCUAAAUUCCAGUGAAUACAAGCACAGUUUUUCCAAUCUUUCCUCAUAUGACAGUCCCGCCAUCGCGGGGAGUAACCUUGUGAACCUACGCUACACUGCCUCAAUAGCAAGGAUGUCCUUUCUCAAAUUAUGAGACCAAAACUGCACACAAUACUCCUGAUGUGGUCUCACCAGGGCACUGUACAACAGCAGAAGUACCUCUUUACUCCUAUACUCAAAUCUUCUUGUCACAAAGGCCAACAUGUCAUUAGUUGACUUCACUGCUGUACCUGCAUGUUUACUUUCAGUGACUGGUGUACAAAGACACCCAUGUCUCGUUGCACUUCCCUUUUUCCUAAUCUGACACCAUUGAGAUAAUAAUCUGCUUCCUUUUUCUUGCCAGCAAAGUGGAUCACCUCACAUUUAUCUACAUUGUACUGCAUCUGCCAUUCAUCUGCCCACUCACUCAACCUGUCCAAGUCACCCUGCAACCUCCUAGCAUCUUCUCCGCAGUUCAUACUGCCACCCAGCUUUGUGUCAUCUGCAAAUUUGCUUGUGUUACUUUAAAUACCAUAAUCUAAAUCAUUAAUAUAUAUUGUAAAUAGUAGCAGCCCCAGCACCGAGUCUUGCUGCACUCCGCUCACAACUGCUUGCCAUUCUGACCGAGACCUGUUUAUUCCUACUCUUUGUUUCCUGUCUGCCAACCAAUUCUCUAUCUAUGUCAAUACCCUACCCCCAAUACCAUGUGCUCUAAUUUUGCCCACUAAUCUCUUGUGUGGGACCAUAUCAAAGGCUUUCUGAAAGGCCAGAUACACUAUAUCCACUGGCUCUCCUUCAUCCAUUUUACUUGUCACAUCCUCAAAUAAUUCCAGAAGAUUUGUCAAGCAGGAUUUCCCCUUCAUAAAUCCAUGCUGACUUGGACCUUUUACUGCUAUCCAAUUGUGCCGUUAUCACUUAUUUCAUAAUUGACUCCAGCAUCUUGCCCACUACCGAUGUGAGACUAACUGGUCUAUAAUCCGUUUUCUCUCUCGCUCAUUUCAUGAAAAGUGGGACGACAUUAGCUAUCCAUCAAUUAGUUACCCUCAGGAACUGAUCCUGAAUCUAUAGAACAUUGGAAAAUGAUCACCAAUCCGUCCACGAUUUCUCGAGCCACCUCCUUGAGUACCCUGGGAUGCAGACUAUCAGGCCCUGGGGAUUUAUCAGCCUUCAGUCCCAUCAGUCUACCCAAUAUUAUUCCUCACCUAAUGCAAAUUUCUUUCAGUUCCUCCCUAAAUCCUUUGACGUCUAGUACAUCUGGGAGAUUGUUUGUGUCUUCCUUAGUGAAGACAGAACAAAAGUACCUGUUCAACUCUUCUGACAUUUCCUUGUCCCCAAUAAUAAUUUCACCUGUUUCUGCCGUCAAGGGACCCAUAUUUGUCUUUACUUAUCUUUAUCUCUUAACAUAGCUAAAGAAGCUUUUACUAUCCUUCUUUAUAUUCUUGGCCAGCUUACCCUCGUACUUCAUCUUUUCACCUGGUAUUGCCCUUUUUGUUACCUUCUGUUCUCCUUAUAAGUUUGCCAAUCCUCUGCUUCCCGGUACUCUAUGCUGUGUUAUACACCUUUUAUUAUUAUUUUUUUCCAUCCCUAACUUCUCUUGUCAGCCACAGUUGCCUCUUACUCCCCUUAGAAUCUGUCUUCUUCUUUGGAAUGAAAUGAGGCUGCAUCUUCUGGGUUAUGCCCAGAAAUUCCUGCCAUUGCUGUUCCACCAUCAUUCCUGCUAGGAUCCUUUUCCAGUCAACCAAGGCUCCAGAACAAGCUGCUCUAAGAAUCCAUCUGGGAGGCCCUCUACAAACUUCCUUUCUUGAGGUCCAGAACCAACCUGAUUUUCCCGGUCUACCUGCAUAUUGAAAUCUCCCAUAACCACAGUGGCAUUACCUUUGUUACAUGCCAAUUUUACCUCCUGCUACUUGCACCCUAUAUCCAGGCGACUAUUUGAGGGUCUGUAGAUAACUCUCAUUAGUGUCUUCUUACCUUUACAAUUCCUCAAUUCUAUCCACAGUGACUGUACAUCAUCAGUACCUAUGUCACCCCUCGCAAGGGAUUAAGUUUCACCCCUCACCAACAGAGCUAUCCCACCUCCUCUGCCCACCUGCCUGUUCUUUCUAUAGGAUGUAUAACCCUGAAUAUUAAUUUCCCAGCCCCGAUCCUCCUGCAGCCAUGUCUCUGUAAUCCCCACAAUGUCAUAUCUACCAAUCUCUAACUGAGCCUCAAGCUCAUCCACUUUACUUUUAAUACUUCACGCAUUCAUAUAUAAUACUUUUAAUCCAUUACUGCCUCACCUUUCACACCGAUUCCUAUUUCACUUGACCAUACUCUCUUUUCCCUUCAUGAGCUUUCCGCCCCGUUAAUUCUGGGGUCUUUUUUAACUUUCCCUAUACUCUCUUUCCCUUUAACUCCAUCCUUGCAUUUCAAAUUUGUCUCCGCCCCCCUCCCACACUAUUUAGUUUAAACCCACCCGUGUAGCAGUGGCAAACCUGCCUGCUGGCAUAGAUUUAGAAUGAAAGAUAAGAGGCUUAGAGAGAGCUCAAGAAGGAAUUAGUUACAGAGGAGGAUAGUUUAAAUCUAAACCCAGCGCCUGAGUGCGUGUUGAGACAGGAACAAUGUUUAAGAUGUAUCUAGUCGAGCACUGCAUCACCAAGCCACAGAAGACUCGUCGGACGGCCGAACCAACCCAGAACUCGUUAGACGUGGAACCGCCGGAGGCUCCGUCACUGGACAGUCCAUCAGACGGCAGAAGAGCCGAAACCGGGCGCAUUCAGCGGGCGGCUGGACUCGCUUGGAGGCUCCUUGGACGCGGAACCGCCCGAUAGCUCAUCGGAUGUGGAAUACUGGGAUGGAGUUGCUGGAGACAUUGGGCGUGGAGACCAAGGGCCGGUAGGAAGGUGAACCGGGUUAAUGUCUCCAGUGUCUCGAAGCUUUAGCUGCACUUUUACUGUUGAGUCGAUUGAGAAGGUGUUGCAGGAAAUGAUUUCCUCCCUCAGUCUUUUCCUGUUGCUGGAUAGAAACUCAGCCUCGAAAGUGAAACUAGCUUUGCAAGAAAUUACGGCAAUGAUAUUGCAGUGUGUGGCGGAACUGCCUGGAUCCAAUACAAGCCCAGAACAGGAUAGCAACAGAAUCGCUGCAUUUGUCACACCCGGCCUGAUUGGGUGAUCUUUUCUCUGCCUGUUUAUCACGUCUGUCAGUUAUCACCAGUCACCUUUGACUCUUUGUGCCCAACGGAAAAUAACAUGUUUAUCUCUUUGCCAUCAAAUGAGAGAAGGGAUAUCACCCCAGGAGGCCACAUGAAUGACAAGGGUGCCAGGCAAAACAUUUGUGAACAUUAGGAAGCGAUGCAAACAAAUGUAUGUACAGCCUCCGAGAAUGUCGGUAGUAUUUUUCCCAGUUCUUGUUUUGUAUAUUCUGAAUAAAGUUGAUUUUGAUUUUAUAAAAA